AAUCCUAGCUCAGGAUGAACGCUAGCUACAGGCUUAACACAUGCAAGUCGAGGGGCAGCGGGAUUGAAGCUUGCUUCAAUUGCCGGCGACCGGCGCACGGGUGAGUAACGUGUAUCCAACCUUCCGUACACUCAGGGAUAGCCUUUCGAAAGAAAGAUUAAUACCUGAUGGUAUCUUAAGCACACAUGUAAUUAAGAUUAAAGAUUUAUCGGUGUACGAUGGGGAUGCGUUCCAUUAGGUAGUAGGCGGGG
rnacentral:rRNA from 1 species